UGCCAGCCGCCGCGGUAAUACGGAGGGGGUUAGCGUUGUUCGGAAUUACUGGGCGUAAAGCGCGCGUAGGCGGACUAGAAAGUAAGGGGUGAAAUCCCAGGGCUCAACCCUGGAACUGCCUCUUAAACUCCUGGUCUUGAGUUCGAGAGAGGUGAGUGGAAUUCCAAGUGUAGAGGUGAAGUUCGUAGAUAUUUGGAGGAACACCAGUGGCGAAGGCGGCUCACUGGCUCGAUACUAACGCUGAGGUGCGAAAGUGUGGGGAGCAAACAGGAUUAGAUA
rnacentral:rRNA from 1 species